rnacentral:tRNA from 1 species
CAUUAGAUGGCCGAACAUAAGCAAUGGAAUUUUAAACCGUAUUAUAGUACAUUUGUACUUCUAAUG